UUUGGAUGCCGCAUCGAAUCUA
rnacentral:siRNA from 1 species